UUUCGAAUCAUUCACAAUGGGCGAAAGCCUGAUGGUGCGACGCCGCGUGCAGGAUGACGGUCCUAUGGAUUGUAAACUGCUUUUUGUACAGGAAGAAACAGUUCUACGUGUAGAACCUUGACGGUACUGUAAGAAUAAGGAUCGGCUAACUCCGUGCCAGCAGCCGCGGUAAUACGGAGGAUCCAAGCGUUAUCCGGAAUCAUUGGGUUUAAAGGGUCCGUAGGCGGUUAGAUAAGUCAGUGGUGAAAGCCCAUCGCUCAACGGUGGAACGGCCAUUGAUACUGUCUGACUUGAAUUAUUAGGAAGUAACUAGAAUAUGUAGUGUAGCGGUGAAAUGCUUAGAGAUUACAUGGAAUACCAAUUGCGAAGGCAGGUUACUACUAAUGGAUUGACGCUGAUGGACGAAAGCGUGGGUAGCGAACAGGAUUAGAUACCCAUGUAGUCCCUGAGCGGGCUGGCAAGGCGCAU
rnacentral:rRNA from 1 species